AUAGUACUCCCUCCGUUCCAAAUUAUUUGUCGCACAUAUGGAUGUAUCUAGAUGUAUUUUAGUUCUAGAUACAUCCAUUUCAGCGACGAGUAAUUUGGAACGGAGGGAGUAGUUG
rnacentral:pre_miRNA from 1 species